ensembl:miRNA Mir7661 microRNA 7661
AAGAAAGAAACCUGGAGUUUAAAGUAGCUCUUGUAAUCCUUGACUCCCAGUUUCUCUCUGC